CCCUACGGGAGGCAGCAGUGAGGAAUAUUGGUCAAUGGGCGCAAGCCUGAACCAGCCAUGCCGCGUGAAGGAAGAAGGCCUUAUGGGUCGUAAACUUCUUUUAUAAGGGAAAAAAUGAUGGUACGUGUACCAUCUUGCUUGUACUUUAUGAAUAAGCAUCGGCUAACUCCGUGCCAGCAGCCGCGGUAAUACGGAGGAUGCGAGCGUUAUCCGGAUUCAUUGGGUUUAAAGGGUGCGCAGGCGGACUGAUAAGUCAGUGGUGAAAUCCCAUAGCUCAACUAUGGAACUGCCAUUGAUACUGUCAGACUAGAGUAUAGAUGACGUAGGCGGAAUGCGACAUGUAGCGGUGAAAUGCUUAGAUAUGUCGCAGAACACCGAUUGCGAAGGCAGCUUACGAAACUAUAACUGACGCUCAUGCACGAAAGCGUGGGGAUCAAACAGGAUUAGAUACCCCGGU
rnacentral:rRNA from 1 species